ACGGGGGAGGAUCGCUUGAGCCCAGGAGCUGGAGGUUGCAGUGAGCUACGAUGACGCCACUGAGCCUCAGUCUGAGCGAUACAGCCAGACCCUGUUUC
rnacentral:miRNA from 1 species